UAAGAAAAAUCAAUAAAUCAAGUUAAAACCAUACAAAAAAAAAAAAUCAUGAAUUGGACCUAAUCGAACCUGGUUUGAACCAAUUUUUGGCUAUUUCCGGCAAGAGCAGCCAAGUCCGAUCGGCGCAGACUUCUCUCUUCGCCGCUAGCGCUUCUCCAGCCGCCAUUCUUUCCAAUUUUGGUCUAGCUAUGGGGGCAGCAGCGAGUUAGAGAGAGAGACUUUGAUUUGUGACUGGUCAACCGGAAACUCGAGUCCUCCGACGUGUUUUGCAAUUUGGAGAGGGGAGCUCAAAGUAGGAGGAAAAGGAAGCUAAGAAGAAGCUUUAAAGCUCUUUUGGUUGAAAGUUUUGGGUCUGGACCGUAGAGAAUCAUCUUACAACUGCUGCAGUUCAUCUUGUGAAGAUCCAGUCUUCAGGGUAGAUACUCAUUUUGAUAUUUUAAUUUUGUCUAUAUAUAUCAUGGCUUGUACAGGGCAUAUAGUUGGGCCCAUUUCAUUUUGGACACCAGUAUAAUGUCGUGUAAAUAUUAAGCACAGUACUAAUGUAGAAAGCAACAGCAUGAUCGUAUAGUCAGUAUACAUUAUGAUAUCA